rnacentral:rRNA from 1 species
CCUACGGGAGGCAGCAGUGGGGAAUAUUGCACAAUGGGGGAAACCCUGAUGCAGCAACGCCGCGUGAGUGAAGAAGUAUUUCGGUAUGUAAAGCUCUAUCAGCAGGGAAGAACAUGACGGUACCUGACUAAGAAUCCCCGGCGAACUACGUGCCAGCAGCCGCGGUAAUACGUAGGGGGCAAGCGUUAUCCGGAUUGACUGGGUGUAAAGGGUGCGUAGCCGGCCAGACAAGUCAGAAGUGCAAGCCCAGGGCUCAACCUGGGGACGGCUUUUGAAACUGCCGGGCUGGAGUGCAGGAGAGGAAAGCGGAAUUCCAAGUGUAGCGGUGAAAUGCGUAGAUAUUAGGAGGAACACCAGUGGCGAAGGCGGCUUACUGGACUGUAACUGACGUUGAGGCUCGAAAGCGUGGGGAGCAAACAGGAUUAGAUACCCGAGUAGUC